GACGUUAAACCUACUGUUCGUAACAUCGUACAAGGAAAUUGGAGACUCUCUGCUGAUAUCUUCGCAGAGGGAUACAUGCUCAACUAUGUUAUGGCCACGUAUAGAAAAGCUCAGGUUUCAAUUUUGAAUGGUAUCUUCAUGGGAGGUGGAGCUGGUCUCUCCAUCCAUGGUCGAUUUCGUAUUGCAACUGAGAACACGGUAUUUGCAAUGCCCGAGAC